rnacentral:tRNA from 1 species
GGGGAUAUAGCUCAGUUGGUAGAGUGCUUGCCUCACAUGUAGGAAGCCCUGGGUUCAAUCCCCAGUACCAUAA